CUAACCACAUUGUGGGAAUCGUGGGGAAAUGGAUGGGAAACCGGAGCCCCCGAAAUCCUGGGAGGGGGAAACAGUAUACCCUGUUCCCCUUAAGUGUUGGGUGUCCUGGGGUUUCCGAACAACGAUAACCCCCUGGGGAUCGCCCAAGUAAACAAAUAUUGGCGGGCCGCCAACGUGGGCAGGGUUAAUAGAUAAAAGGGAGAACUUACUCUUUGACAUCCAGAAAUUUCCGAGAUGCUUGGGCCUCGGGAAUUCGAGACAGUGCUCAUGCUGUCGUCAGCUCGUGUUGGAAAUGUUGGUUUAGUCCCGCAACGAGCGCAAACCUUAUCCUUUGUGCCAGCGGUCGGCCCGGGACCUCAAAGGAGACUGCCAGUGAUAAACUGAGGAGGUGGGGAUGACGUCAAGUCAUCAUGGCCCUUACGAGUAGGGCUACACACGUGCUACAAUGGCGUAUACAAGUGAGAAGCGAUCUCGCGAGAGCAAGCGGACCUCAUAAAGUACGUCGUAGUCCGGAUUGGAGUCUGCGAGUAGAAUCCAUGAAGUCGGAAUCGCUAGUAAUCGUAGAUCAGAAUGCUACGGUGAAUACGUCCCGGGCCUGUACACACCGCCCGUCAGCACCAUGGGAGUGGGUGCAAAAGAAGUAGGUAUGCUUAACCUUCGAUAGGCGCGCUACCACUUGUGAUCAUGACUGGGGUGAAGUCGUAACAAGUAACGUAGACCUU
rnacentral:rRNA from 1 species